AGAGUUUGAUCAUGGCUCAGGAUGAACGCUGGCGGCGUGCCUAACACAUGCAAGUCGAACGGGGAUGCGGUAAGGAAGGGAAGCGCUUGCGCGGAACGGAAAGACGGCAUCCCAGUGGCGGACGGGUGAGUAACGCGUGGGCAACCUGCCUUAUACAGGGGGAUAACACCUGGAAACAGGUGCUAAUACCGCAUAAGCGCACAGUUUCGCAUGAAACGGUGUGAAAAGGAGGAACAUAGUUUCUCCGGUAUAAGAUGGGCCCGCGUCUGAUUAGCCAGUUGGCGGGGUAACGGCCCACCAAAGCUACGAUCAGUAGCCGGCCUGAGAGGGUGGACGGCCACAUUGGGACUGAGACACGGCCCAAACUCCUACGGGAGGCAGCAGUGGGGAAUAUUGCACAAUGGGGGAAACCCUGAUGCAGCGACGCCGCGUGAGUGAAGAAGUAUUUCGGUAUGUAAAGCUCUGUCAGCAGGGAAGGAAAAAGACGGUACCUGACCAAGAAGCCCCGGCUAACUACGUGCCAGCAGCCGCGGUAAUACGUAGGGGGCAAGCGUUAUCCGGAUUUACUGGGUGUAAAGGGAGCGUAGACGGCAUGGCAAGUCUGAAGUGAAAACCCGCGGCCCAACUGCGGGAGUGCUUUGGAAACUGUCAGGCUGGAGUACAGGAGAGGUAAGCGGAAUUCCUAGUGUAGCGGUGAAAUGCGUAGAUAUUAGGAGGAACACCAGCGGCGAAGGCGGCUUACUGGACUGUAACUGACGUUGAGGCUCGAAAGCGUGGGGAGCAAACAGGAUUAGAUACCC
rnacentral:rRNA from 1 species